rnacentral:rRNA from 1 species
UACGUAGGGACCGAGCGUUGUCCGGAAUCAUUGGGCGUAAAGCGCGUGUAGGCGGCUUUGCAAGUCGGGUGUGAAAUCCCUCAGCUCAACUGAGGAAGUGCGCCCGAAACUGCAGAGCUUGAGUACCGGAGAGGAUGGUGGAAUUCCCCAAGUAGAGGUGAAAUUCGUAGAUAUGGGGAGGAACACCGGUGGCGAAGGCGACCAUCUGGACGGAUACUGACGCUGAGACGCGAAAGCGUGGGGAGCAAACAGG